rnacentral:misc_RNA from 1 species
GAUGAAGAACGUAGCAAAAUGCGAUAAGUAAUGUGAAUUACAGAAUUCAGUGAAUCAUCGAAUCUUUGAACGCACAUUGCGCCCGCCAGUAUUCUGGCGGGCAUGCCUGUUCGAGCGUCAUUUCAACCCUCAAGCUCAGCUUGGUGUUGGGACUCGCGGUAACCCGCGUUCCCCAAAUCGAUUGGCGGUCACGUCGAGCUUCCAUAGCGUAGUAAUCAUACACCUCGUUACUGGUAAUCGUCGCGGCCACGCCGUAAAACCCCAACUUCUGAAUGUUGACCUCGGAUCAGGUAGGAAUACCCGCUGAACUUAAGCAUAUCAAUAAGCGGAGGA